UGCUUUUAAAUGCAAGCUAUUGUGACACCAGAUAUGAGUGGUGGCACUGACUGGGCAAAUGGGCACAGUAUCCACUGUGAGCCUGACACACCCGCUUUAAGGACACUGACUGCUAUUCAAUCUAUAACAGUGAAAAAAGUUUUUUGUUUUUAAAUGCAAGCUAUUGUGACACCAGAUAUGAGUGAGUGGUGGCACUGGGCACCGUAUCCACUGUGUGCUUAACACACCCGCUUUAAGGACACUGACUGCUAUUCAAUCUAUAACAGUGAAAAAAGUUUUUUGUUUUUAAAUGCAAGCUAUUGUGACACCAGAUAUGAGUGAGUGGUGGCACUGACUGGGCAAAUGGGC